UACAGAGGUGGCAAGCGUUGUUCGGAAUUACUGGGCGUAAAGGGCGCGUAGGCGGUCCCAUAAGUCCCGCGUGAAAUCCCCCGGCUCAACCGGGGAACUGCGCGGGAAACUGCGGGGCUUGAGUUCGGGAGAGGGAAGCGGAAUUCUCGGUGGAGAGGUGAAAUUCGUAGAUAUCGAGGGGAACACCAGUGGCGAAGGCGGCCGACUGGACGAAUACUGACGCUGAGACACGAAAGCGUGGGGAGCAAACAGG
rnacentral:rRNA from 1 species